AUAUGAGAGCACUACUUGAUAUACCCGCACCACAUGAUACAUUAGAAAGUUUGAGAACAUUUCAUGACAAAUCAGAAGCUUACAUACGGGGUCUAGAGUCUCUCGGACAAUGUCAGGAAAUGUACGGAUCGCUAUUGAUACCAGUGAUUCUCGGGAAGUUACCGCAUGAAGUACGAAAAAAAUAUAACACGAGAAAACGGGAGCGACAGUUGGAAUAUUCAAUCGCUUAGAAACGCGAUAGGUAAAGAGAUUUCUAUUCAAGAGUCCGGAUACGGUGAUUAUACACAGACGUAUUCAACCGCAACCCCUAGCGCAAAUUUCAUAACAGGCGUUAAACGAGUAACUACAGAUAAAACCCGUCCGAUAAACACAACAGAUAAAUCAUUUAACUCGAAUCGGAAGAAACAAUGCGCAUAUUGUGACGGAAACCACUGGCCAAACGAAUGUAAAGAUGUCAUAGAUCACGAUAAAAGAGUAGUAGCCAUUAUAAAAGAAAAGAGGUUAUGCUUUAAUUGUUUAGGUAAGCAUAAAAUAGCCGAUUGCAAAUCCAAGAAUACGUGUAAGUGUUGCCACCGGAAGCAUCACUCUUCAUUAUGUAAACAGAACUCGUACUCAAAUAAACAUCAUAUUGAAACUGAACAAUCGCAAACAAAGUAGACACAGAAACUUCUAUGUUGUAUACCGCUAGCGAAGAAAGGUCCACUGUUUUACUGAAAACCGC
rnacentral:lncRNA from 1 species